UUUGAAUCCAUAUUGGAGAAGUCAGCAGCAGAAAAAUCUGCAUUUGAUGUCCCAUUUGAGUUGAUAGAACUUCAAAAGUUUGACUAUGCAUUGGAAGGGGUUUCAUUUCAGCAGCUAAUUCGGAUGCCCAAUGCUAUGUAUGGUUCAACGUCUGAUGCUGUGGAAGCAACUGCUUAUCUUGCUAUUGAAGAUUUUCUACAUGCAAGUGUGAAGGGUCUGUGGGAAGCAUUUUGGAGUGAGGAUGAUCCCAUGCCUUUCUCCAUUGCCUGUCUAUACAAUGCAAACUUAAAAUUCUACCAGGNAUAGCUAAUGGAAAGCUUGGAGGACUUUGUGCUACUGGUAUAUUGCUGAACAACCCUAGAC
rnacentral:misc_RNA from 1 species